rnacentral:misc_RNA from 1 species
GAUGAAGAACGUAGCGAAAUGCGAUAAGUAGUGUGAAUUGCAGAAUUCAGUGAAUCAUCGAAUCUUUGAACGCACAUUGCGCCCCUUGGUAUUCCAUGGGGCAUGCCUGUUCGAGCGUCAUUUGUACCUUCAAGCUUUGCUUGGUGUUGGGUGUUUGUCUCGCCUCCGCGUGUAGACUCGCCUCAAAACAAUUGGCAGCCGGCGUAUUGAUUUCGGAGCGCAGUACAUCUCGCGCUUUGCACUCACAACGACGACGUCCAAAAGUGCAUUUUUACACUCUUGACCUCGGAUCAGGUAGGGAUACCCGCUGAACUUAAGCAUAUCAAUAAGCGGAGGA